AGAACAGUAACUUUUAUUCAUUAAUAGAAUCAAUAAUGCAGCAGCUACAGCCUAAAAUUUACAGGAGCAUAGGUACUAACUCACAGGGUAAACUGAACAGAGAAAUGCCUAAUUUAGGCAAAGAGACCUAACCAGAAGUAUGAUGUAUGUUUUUCAUCAUUGAAUCUUCGAUAGGGCUGCUUUGGUUAGAUGAACAUGCAGUCCUAGAAUUCUUUCACCUCCAACGCGGAUUUACACCGUUCAUUGAAACAACGUCUGAAUACAGUUUGCUAAGUCAGGCUAUACUGGAUGGUGCCAACCUCUCUGUGAGCUGCAACUGCAACAGCUGCAGCACCGACAGCACCAAAUUUGGUUUGUGCCUGUAGUAGUUUUGCAUCUAUUGCAAUUUGACCACCCAACUGUGCUACUUUUUCUUGUGCUGGAUAAUACGGGUUGGUGUUCAUCUCAACACUCAUGUUGCAUUGUGCAGGUAGGGGUCUAACUUGAGUGGCGUCCUUGGAUUCUGUCCCACACUUCUCUCGAUUCCCCGGGUUCAUCCUGAACAUAUAAUGUGGAGAAAUGCCAUGAGGAAGGAGGCCAGUAUUCUGUGUAAGCAUUCUUCCGUCAUAUGGUAAAAUUGGCCCUACAACUCUCCCAGGUUUGGCUGUACCUGCAUGGACUCGAUGUGGUGGUCGUGAAAUGUUUUGUAUAGUUCCUGAAGUUUUUUCUGCGACUCUAACAUCAGUAGAUGAUUUUUCUGUUACUUGCGUAUGAUCAAACACAGAGAAGUUCUGCCUAGCUUUUGGGGGAUCAGUACUGGAAUUGACCGCAGAUCGUGGAAGAGAAACGUGCUUUCUACCAAGAGGAAUAACUGGCCCACUUUUAUCAUUAUUUUCCUCAAGAUAAGCAAAUUGCCUUCUAAACUGAUCAGUUGCACUAGGAUAGAGAAAAUUUGUGCCAUCAUUUCCAGCAAUGUAAUCCUUUUGAAGUUGAGGAUGAUAUUCCAAUAUCUCCCGAAAAAUU
rnacentral:misc_RNA from 1 species